UUAUGUUUGAAUUGGUUUUUGAUGGUACGAAUAUAUUGGUGACGAAACUGCGAACACAGAGGGUGACGUAGGGAUUUCCCAACUACAGCCAAUCAGAACGGCUUUUAUAUUUUUGGUUUACUUCCGGUGACCGGGUACUCCCGAGGAAUUCCAUCAAAACAAACCAAAGUUUUAACUAUUAUUCUUCUAUUUAUUUUAAAGUGCUCUAACAUUUAAUUAAUUAAAGGUUAAAUUCCACAAAGCCUUGUACUUCAGGCUUCUGUGACAUUGAUUUUAUCCUGUUGCUGGCAUUUUGAAGAUUUAUACAGUUCACAGACAUGUAGACACAGCAUUUAACUAUCAGGUGGUUGAUAGUUAAAACGGAAGUAAAAUAUUUGAAAAUACAGUGUCAUAAAGCAAUCAUAAAGAAGAAAUACUCUUCCAUAGCAAGGAAAUAAACAGUCCGAUAUGAGUUAUUCAAGUGUACCUGCUACCGGUGCUAAAAAAGGAAGCAACUGGACUUACAAAAUUUAUUUCUCACCUGAAGCUGACAAAAGCUCUAGCUCUCAACAUGAAAUCGAAGAUGAAGAACUGAUUGUCAAACUUCAGACACUUUUGGAUGUCAACGAAA